UUCUUUUGGUGGGGCAUCCUCCUUGCGGGAAGGAGAGCUAGGGGAGGGCAGCGGCGGCGGCAGGAGAGAGGCUAGAGAUCGGAGCGUGGAAGAGGGUAGGUAGGGGAGCGGAGAGAAAGGGGGCUAGAUCUACCGUGGAGGGUGGUACCGCCCCUCCGCCGAAGCUCGCGGCGGACUAGAGGAGCUGGGUCCCGGAGUGCGAGUGGUCGCGGGCGGGUUAGCGCGCGCUGGAGAGGUGACGUCGCGCGGGGGCGGGACAGAACUACACGUCGGGUGCGGUACCCAGAGGCGGCUGCGGUGCUACCAGCACCGGAGGAGUGGGCGGCUGCGGAGGUGAGGUCUAGGCUCGGCGGCCACUCGGCAGUUCCAGCCCCGUACCAUGAUAGGUAGAAGGGCGCACAUCCCGUCGGCCACGGGCGCAGGCGCAUAGGGCCGGUACCCACAACAUAAGUAGAGGAUGUACCCCGCUGCUCCUUCUACUCGGGUCGCCGUGCACACAGAAGGUCGGCGAGAACACUCUAGCCCUCCGUUAGUUUUCGUCCUUCCCCUCUAGCUACGAACCCCCACUGUAGGUUACUGGGUCCGUAGUGGGAGAGGACUGCAGAAUGAUGUUUGGGCGUCGGUGACGGAGGAGCUAGAUGCGAUCGGACGUCGUCGUUCAUAUAGCUCAAACUACUGCUACUACUAACUUUUCUUCUCCUACUUCGUGAUAAGUCUCCCAUAGGCUCACAUGUACUACGGGGACCCACCCACAGCCGCACUCGACCAUACCGGGGCAGCACCGAUACAUCUACCCCUCCGCCCCACCUCCGACCCUGACGUACCCCUUUUUCGUAUUUCUCGUUCUGCCAUCACGACAUGACACCGUACCAGUACACACAUCGGAGUCGUGUCGCAACAUGACACCGUACCGACACACACACUGCAGCCACGUCGCCGUUUCUCAUCAGAAACCUCGUCCCGUCGCCGUGUGUGUGUGUACUCCCACCGGGAGCUCCGAACCCCCAAUUCGUCCUAGGGCACCUUCACCUCUCUCUUCGUAGUACGAGUACUUGAACUUUUUACUAAAGCUCAAACUUGUUUCUUUCAAAUGGUUUCUUCUGUAGUUUCUUUAAUAUAAAUCCCUCUAUGACCUUAUGGAGGGAGUUGAAGAGUUCCUAAUGUACGUGCCUAGACUUUUAUGAAUGAUACAGGAUACAAAGAUGGAACUGUAUAGAACAUUGAAAAAACGGAGGAUAAAACGUAUACAUCGUUAUCAGUAUUGAAUACAGCAACUUAGUUAUAAACGGUGAUGACUGUUAAACGUAUCCGUUAGACGAUUCUCCUUCUACCACCUUUCUCGCCCGCUCAGCUCUCUUUUGUAAAAGAAGAGGGUUCCAUUAAAUGUGAUAGUAUUAAGGGGGUUGACACUGAACAAUAUAUGUGUGGAUCUGGUGGGGUGUGGCGGUGAUAUCAUGUGCCUGCGGCGAGUGGACGUUUCCCGUUUUCCGAGGAGGAAAAUGGUAUUUUGUACAGGGACCCAUCCUUCCACCGGAUGGGCCGGUGUUCGUUUUUUCCCUUCCAGCGAACGUAUGUGGCCACCACUUCUUUUGCUAGGCCUUCUCGUCUUCACAAUAAGGUAUGGCUCGACAUGGCACACAAAAGUCAAAAUACUUCUUACCAAACGCUAAUGUGCCAUAAACUUUGGAAGAAAAGUGUGUGACUCGGAACACUAGACUGCCAUACACCGAAGACACAAGAACGCAUCCACAGCUUGAUGUGAUGGUCGUCGUCUCCGACGUGGAACAGAAAUCGUUUCUACCUUUCGGACGAUUAAUUACUAUGUCCCUCUACUUGCUACACCUAUACUUCUUUAAGUACCUAGCACGAGAAGGCACCAUUCCUCGGACACCGAGAGAGUUCAGAGUUGACUAGUCUUCUAGAACCAAUCGACCAACCAGUCUCCUUCUUUCGUCUUGCGUACUUACUUUCACCUCUCCUGUUUCUUUCUACACACCUAUGAGUAUCAACUUCAUUUAUUCAUAAUACCCCUAAGAGUAUCAACCUCUUAUAUUCAUAAUACGCCUAAGAGUACCAACCUCAAUUAUUGCCUGUGUGACCGCAUAAUCAACAAACGGGUUGUUGCCUGUAGUAUAAAAAUAAAGCACCAUUACGUGCUGUAAGUUAAC
rnacentral:rRNA from 1 species